rnacentral:misc_RNA from 1 species
GGUCUUGGAGGGGUAGGAUAUGGAAGAAAUAGUGGGGCAAGUAUUGUGCCAUUUUCAUCUCAUGCUGCAUCACAAGAUGAUUAUGGUGGGCCUUAUGCAGACAUUUAUGAUAAUGGCCCCUUGUACAGGGAUUCUGCAUGGCCAUCUUUUCCUUUAGAGCUAGAGGGUUCUGGCUCAUUUGAUUUUGGGCUUGGAAAUGCAGCUACAGAUGCUGUGACUAAAAACUCUGCUGGUUAUGGUGGUGGUUAUAGUGUUACCAAUAGACAAGCAAAUAGAGGCAUUGCUGCUUAGGAUGAUUAUGAUGUGAAUGUCAAGAGGUUAUUUAGAGUGCGGUCACAAGGAAUUCUGUGUAAGGUUUGAGCUUUGAGGUUUUUAUGGUA